rnacentral:rRNA from 1 species
UGGUGGAGUGAUUUGUCUGGUUAAUUCCGUUAACGAACGAGACCUCGACAUGCUAAUUAUGCGCCGGGAACCUUUCGGUUCCCUGGUUGCUUCUUAGAGGGACUACUGGUGUGUAGCCAGUGGAAGUUCGAGGCAAUAACA